GCAGGAGCAGCGUGCAGGACUCACGAGGCACCGCUAUAAAGCAAAACAGCAGGUUUUGGAGUGAUCAAGUGUGACUAAAUGAAUGAAACAAGUUAGAAAGUUCAAGCUGCGUACACUCAAGAUGGCGCCGUUCCAGCAGCUGGCUCUGCCUGACCGAAGUGUCCAAUUGCAGCAGAGUAUCAGCCUCCCCUCCGCUGGGGAGCUGACGCUGACCACUGACCCCCCCAGAGGAUUAAAUUGGAGCAUUUCCACCGAUACUGUGUCAAAUUAAUAUUCGUUUUGUUGCCGUGCUGCGUCAGCUUCAUGCUGUGACAGUGCCUUUGCAAAAACAUUCAUGUCUGAUAAAUGUUGGCAAGAUUCUACCCCAGGCUGGAGUAUUUUAUUGAUAUUUUAUUCUGUUGGACCACACAAAGGAGUAUUGUAUAAAUAAGUAUUGUUGUGUGCAUCUGUAUACACCCCCAUUUAUUCUUAUCCUCUUAGUUAAAUCCAGUUCAGUUCACUUUAGAAGUCAAUCUUAAAUGAAGAUUAAAGAAAAUAAUCAUUUAAUCCAUUUCAAAAAGUAUUAUAGUCCAUAGUGAGCAAAGCAAACAUGUAGAAUAAGGUACUUUGGUCAGAUGAGACUAAAACAUAACUUUCUAGCCUCCAUGCAAAAUGUCAUAUGUG